rnacentral:tRNA from 1 species
UCCUUCAUGGCUCAAACUGUAAAGAAUCUGCCUUCAAUGCAGAAGACCCGGGUUUGAUCCCUGGUUGGGAAA